UAGAGUUUGAUCAUGGCUCAGAUUGAACGCUGGCGGCAGGCCUAACACAUGCAAGUCGAGCGGAAACGGCAGUAUUGAAGCUUCGGUGGAUUUACUGGACGUCGAGCGGCGGACGGGUGAGUAACGGCUGGGAACCUGCCCUGACGAGGGGGAUAACCGUUGGAAACGACGGCUAAUACCGCAUAAUGUCUACGGACCAAAGGUGGCCUCUACAUGUAAGCUAUCGCGUUGGGAUGGGCCCAGUUAGGAUUAGCUAGUUGGUAAGGUAAUGGCUUACCAAGGCAACGAUCCUUAGCUGGUUUGAGAGGAUGAUCAGCCACACUGGGACUGAGACACGGCCCAGACUCCUACGGGAGGCAC
rnacentral:rRNA from 1 species